AAGACUAUACUUUCAGGGAUCAUUUCUAUAGUUUUUUACUAGAGAAGUUUCUCUGAACGUGUAGAGUACCCGAAACCACGAGGAGGAGGCGGAGUAUCCCUUUCUGAGCGUGAAGUGGGCUCUGGGUAUUGCUUUUAUAGCUGCCCUUUGUCUUUGAUGAUCGUUCUUCUUCUCUUUUAGAGAAGUUAGAGGGAAGGGAUGCCGUCUGAGUGGU